rnacentral:lncRNA from 7 species
GCGCGUGCUAGGGUUUCCCCGGUCCAUGUCGCCUCGAACUGCUCCUGUCUCGCCUCCCAGGCGGAGCUAGGAUUCUUCUCGACGACGACGAUGAGACUCCAAGUUCUUCUCGACGAUUCGUAAACUGGUAUGUAAGCGGACUGAUCCCUUCGAACUUCGUCGGUAGUUAGCAUUUGUUAUCCACAAUUUGUCGUAGUGAAUCGAAGUUUCCAGAUCGAGUUCAUCGGAUUCCAGCCGAUGUACACUGAGAGAUCCCCCUUUCGCACUGUCCAGCAUAAGUAGAUUGCAUUUCUUUUCGUCCAUUCCGUAUAGCAAAUCCUCAUUUGAGCACAGAGUUCAUCGGAUUUGCCGGCUUCCGUAGCGCCUGAACCUUCUCCUCCACAUUAUUGUCUUAUAGUGCAUAUUUAAAUUGUAUGCAUGCUCCCUAUUAUUAUGUCUUCUGCGUUUUUUAUGUUGAAAUAAACAAAUAUAAUAAUACAAUCUUAAAAAUAUUUGUUACAUAUAACCAUUUUAAAAAUUGUUAUGGAUAAUUGGCAUGUCUAAUUAAAAUAUAUUUAAUUUUUGAAAGGGAAAUAGGCUUACACCUUUUCCUAAAUUGAUUUUGGUGGUUGAAUUGCCCAACACAAAUGUAACAUCCCAAAAAUCCCAACCAAGGUUUGAAACCCUAACCUCCUAACCCCCCUUAUUUUAUUUUCUCCCUUAACUCUACCCUUAGAACACCUCAUCAUGUGCAUACACUUGAAAUAAUUAGAGCACCUCACAUAGACUAUAUUUAUCACUCAAGAUCAUUUAGAGAAUUUUUGAUUCAAAGGAAAAAAAGAAAC